rnacentral:rRNA from 1 species
UAGUCCGCGCCGUAAACGAUGGAUACUAGCUGUAUGUCUACCUCAGGUAGAUGUGUGGCCAAGCGAAAGUGAUAAGUAUCCCACCUGGGGAGUACGAUCGCAAGAUUGAAACUCAAAGGAAUUGACGGGGGCCCGCACAAGCGGUGGAGCAUGUGGUUUAAUUCGAUGAUACGCGAGGAACCUUACCAGGACUUAAAUGUAUUGUGACAGAUCUAGAGAUAGAUUUUUCUUCGGACACAUUACAAGGUGCUGCAUGGUUGUCGUCAGCUCGUGCCGUGAGGUGUCAGGUUAAGUCCUAUAACGAGCGCAACCCCUAUCGUUAGUUGCCAACGAGUAAUGUCGGGAACUCUAGCGAAACUGCCGGUGCAAACCGUGAGGAAGGUGGGGGAUGACGUCAAAUCAUCACGGCCCUUACGUCCUGGGGCUACACACGUGCUACAAUGGGUCGGUACAGAGAGCAGCCACUUCGCGAGAAGGGAG